CAUGGCGUAAAAGCCAGACGAAUGCUAGUCGAGCGGUAGCACAUAAGAGCUUGCUCUCAUGAGACUAGCGGCGGACGGGUGAGUAACGUCUGGGUAACCGGCCCAUGGGACUGGAAUACCUCCGGGAAACCGGGCCUAAUCCCGGAUAACAUUUUGAACCGCAUGGGUCGAACUUGAAAGGUCGUUUCGGCUGACGCUCCUGGAUGGACCCGCGUCGCAUUAGCUAUAUGGUGAGGUAACGGCUCACAUCCGUAACUAGGCUGAGACGACCUGAGAGGGUGAUCGAACACACUGGGACUGAGACUCCUACCAGACUCCUACGGGAGGCAAUAUUGCGGAAUCUUCCGCAAUGUGAUAAAGUCUGACCGAGUGUCGCCGCGUGAGUGAUGAAGGCUUUCGGGUUUCAAAACUCUGUUGUUAGGGAAGAACAAGUGCCUUUGAAUAAGCUGGCACCUUGACGGUACCUAACCAGAAACUCACGGCUAACUACGUGCCAGCAGCCGAGGGAAUACGUAGGUGGCAAACGUUAUCCGGAAUUAUUGGGCGUAAAGCGCCCGCAGGUGGUUUCUUAAGUCUGAUGUGAAAGCCCACGGCUCUGCCGUGGAGGGUCGUUGGGAAACUGUCUUGACUUGAGUGGUAAAGAGGAAAGUGGAAUUCCAUGUGUGCCGGUGAAAUGCGUAGAGAUAUGGAGGAACACCAGUGCCCAAGGAGACAUAUCUGGUCUGUAAGUGACACUGAGUGCGCGAACAGCCUGGGAUAGCAAACCCUGUUAGAUCCCCUGGUAAUCCAAUGCCGAAAUCGAAGAUUGCCCCUGAAAGAGGGGUUUCCGCCCUUUAAUGCUUAAAUUCACCCCUCAAGCAAUCCCCCUGC
rnacentral:rRNA from 1 species